CGUCUGCACGAAUGAUGCAACACGUGUAUACGAUAUGUCAGUACCGGUUCGCUAAGUAUACUUCCUACAUUAUUUCAACAUCGGAAAUGAUAUAAAUGAAUCAGACAGGUGUUCAAUAUAUGAUCGGAACAGUUGUGAAAAGAAAGUGAGCUACGCUUUUAUAUCUCAUACCGAAAAGACUGUUUAGUUUGUUUGCGUGAGCAAAAAGCCAAUAUGGCUGAUGAACAAUCCGCAGCUGUUCAGAACAUGAGUAUUGGUGAUGGCCAGACCCAAGAAGAGGAUUUUGUUGAUCCGUGGAAUGUUGCAAGUUCAUCUGCGAAAGGCAUCGAUUAUGAUAAAUUGAUAGUAAGAUUUGGAAGCUCCAAGAUUGACCAGGCACUCCUUGACAAAAUGGAGAGAGUAACUGGGAAGCCAGUCCAUCAUUUUAUACGAAGGGGAAUUUUUUUCUCGCACAGGGAUUUGCACCAAAUACUGGACAUGUAUGAGAAGAAGCAGCCGUUCUACCUGUACACCGGUCGUGGACCUUCCUCAGAGGCCAUGCACCUGGGACAUCUUAUUCCAUUUGUCAUUACAAAGUGGCUACAGGAGACUUUCGAUGUCCCGUUAGUCAUACAGAUGACGGAUGAUGAGAAGUUCCUGUGGAAGGACUUCUCAAUUGAAGAGGCGAUCAGGCUAUCAUAUGAAAACACAAAGGACAUUAUAGCUUGUGGAUUUGACCCAGAGAAGACUUUUGUCUUCAGUGAUUUUGAGUACAUUGGAAACAGCAGAGGGUUUUACAAGAACAUGUGUCAGUUUCAAAAGUUGGUGACAUUCAACCAGGUGAAGGGCUGUUUUGGUUUUGGUGACAGCGACUGCAUUGGGAAGAUCUGCUUCCCUUCCAUCCAGGCUGCACCCAGCUUCAGUUCCUCCUUCCCAGACAUCUUCAAUGGGAGGAACAACAUCCCCUGUCUGAUCCCCUGUGCUAUUGACCAGGAUCCGUAUUUCCGAAUGACAAGAGAUGUAGCACCAAGGAUGGGAUGCAUGAAGCCAGCUCUGAUGCACUCCACUUUCUUCCCUGCACUGCAAGGAGCUCAAAGCAAGAUGAGUGCCAGUGACACCAACUCAUCGAUAUUCCUGACUGACACAGAUAAACAGAUCAAGACAAAGAUCAACAAGUAUGCAUUCUCUGGAGGUCAGACAACUGUUGAGGAGCAUCGAGAAAAGGGAGGCGACUGCAGUGUUGAUGUGUCCUACCAGUACCUCACAUUCUUCAUGGAAGAUGAUGCCAGGCUAGAAGAAAUAAAACAAGGUUAUACAAGUGGUCAGAUUUUGACAGGGGAACUGAAAAAAGAGCUGAUCACACUUUUACAGAAAAUUAUUGGAGAACAUCGAGAAAGGAGGGCCAAGAUCACAGAUGAUGAGAUUAAGCUCUUUAUGAAACCACGGAAGCUCAAAUAUGAUUAUUGACACUUUAGUUGCGCAAUGUACACAAUGCACAAACAUGAACUGAUUGAAAUUGUCAUUGUAUAUUGAUGACAAAAAUUAAAAUGUGAUUAUAUCGAUAAUAUUUAUUAGGGAUGGUAUCUUCCCAUAUUGUAGUCAUGCCAUUGUCAAUAAGCUAAAAUCAACCAAUCAUUGUAAUUGAUUACCUAUGUAGAAUACUGUCUCAGUCCAAUAUAUGUUAGUAUGGUAUGACCAAGGAAGACUUAGGCUAUGUCAGAUGCUAGAAAACAUUUGUCACCAUGCUAUAUUAUUGAGAUGAAUCAGUGAAAUGGGAAGGUUUUUGUUGUGUGUGGGAUAACAUUUUACUGUUUGUACAUGUUUGUACAUUCGAGGGGCAGUUUAUUGGGGAACAAUGACAUUGUCAAUCCAAACUUCAAUGAAAGUAAUCUAUGAAGGUUAUCAGUAUGGCAUAUGCAAAUCUUAUGUCCUGUUAUAUAUCUGUUACUACAAGUGUGUAGUGCUGUCACCCACCUCAGUCUGGCAACUAACAAAUGGGAGAUAACUCUUCUGAUAACUGGUGACAUUCCUUUCACUGCCUGGGCACAAUGGGGAAUGUGGUGUUUGCACUUAUUCCACAGUGCAAGUCUCUUCAGGAACUAUAGGCCCAACACUAAGCUCUUCUGGAACUGUAGUUCCAACACCAGCCUUUUCUGGGCAUAUAGGCCCAAUACCAGCCUCUUCUGGAACUAUAGUUCCAACACCAGCCUUUUUCGAUAAUAUAGACUCAACACUGAAACUCUGGGCCCAUUUCCAACCUCUUGAUGAACUAUGGGCCCAAAAGCAACCUUUUCAGGGACAAUAGGCCCAACACCAACCUCUUCUGGAACUAUAGGCCCAACACCCAGGGACAAUUGGCCCAACACCAGCCUUUCCAGGGACUACAGACUCAACACCAGCUCCUCCAAGACACGUGGCCAAACACCUGCCUCUUUUGGGAACUGUACACCUAACAGCUGUAGGCAACAUGGAGGGUACACCAAAAUGAUGAUUCUCCACAUUAUUUAUCACUCCAAAUUUAAACAAAAUAAAUAACAUCCUUUUCUCUGUCA
rnacentral:misc_RNA from 1 species